CCAAGCGCCUGAGACAGGACCCCAGCAGCUCCACCAUGGACUUGGUGCCAAGCUGUGUUUUCCUCCUGAUCAUUUCUCAAGGUGUCCAGUGUGAGGUGCAGCUGGUGGAGUCUGGUGGAGGCUUGGUGAAGCCUGGGGGGUAUCUGAGAUUCUCCUGUGCAGCCUCUGGAUUCACCUUUAGUAGCUAUGAAAUGAACUGGGUCCGAGAGGCGCCAGGGAAGGGGCUGGAGUGGGUCACAUACAUUAAUAGUGGUGGUGGUAGCACAUACUACGCCGCCUAUGUGAAGGGCCGCUUCACCAUGUCCAGAGACAACGCCAAGAACACGUUCUAUCUGUAAAUGAACAGCCUGAGAACUGAGGACAUGGCCGUGCAUUACU